rnacentral:SRP_RNA from 1 species
GCUGAGCAUGGUGGUGCAUGUCUGUAGUCCCAGCUACUUGGGAGGCUGAGGUGGAAGGAUCGCUUGAGCCCAGGAGUUCUGGACUGUAACAUGCUAUUCCAACCCAGUGUCGCACUAAGUUCAGCAUUAAUAUGGUGACCUCCCGGGACCGGAGGACCACAAGGUUGCCUAAGGAGGGGUGAACCGGCCCAGGUUGGAAAUGGAGCAGGUCAAAACUCCUGUGCUGAUCACUAGUGGGGUCUCACCUGUGAGUAGCCACUGCACUCCAGCCUGGGCUACAUAGUGAGACCCUGUCUNN